CUUAGGGCGGGGGCGCGUGCCGCCGGUGCGGGGGAGGGGCGGGCCGGCGCGCGCCUUGCCCAGGGCUCGCGGGGACCCGGGGGGCGCGUGCCGCGAGGCGAGGCGCGGGGCGGCGCGGCGGGGCCCCUCCCCCCUGCAGCCUGGCGCGCGCCGGCCGGGCUGCACCGCUGCGGGCUCCGCGCGCGCGGGCCAUGUCCGCCUUCUGCCUGGGCUUGGCCAGCCGCGCUUCAGCACCCGCCGAGCCGGACAGCGCCUGCUGCAUGGAGCUUCCCACUGCGGCCGGGGACGCAGUUCGGGGUCCCGCUGCCGCCGCCGCCGCCGCCGCCGCCCUCGUCUCCUUCCCCGGGGGCCCCGGGGAGCUGGAACUGGCGUUAGAGGAGGAGCUGGCGCUAUUGGCGGCUGGGGAGCGACCGUCCGAUCCUGGGGAGCAUCCUGAGGCCGAGCCUGGGCCUUCGGCCGAGGGGACUGGUCUGCAGCCGCCUCCUACCCAAGACCCCGAGCUGCUGUCAGUGAUCAGGCAGAAGGAGAAAGAUCUGGUGUUGGCCGCCAGGCUGGGCAAGGCGCUGCUUGAGAGGAAUCAGGACAUGAGCAGGCAGUAUGAGCAGAUGCACAAGGAGCUGACGGACAAGCUGGAGCACUUAGAACAAGAGAAACAUGAACUAAGAAGACGAUUUGAGAACAGAGAAGGGGAAUGGGAAGGGCGAGUUUCCGAGCUGGAGAGUGAUGUGAAACAGCUGCAGGAUGAACUGGAGAGGCAGCAGGUUCAUCUUCGGGAGGCAGAUCGAGAAAAAACACGGGCUGUCCAGGAACUGUCAGAACAGAACCAAAGGUUACUGGAUCAACUCAGCAGGGCAUCAGAAGUUGAGAGACAACUGUCCAUGCAGGUCCACGCCCUCAGAGAAGACUUUCGGGAGAAAAACUCAUCAACCAAGCAGCACAUUGUCCGGCUGGAGAGCCUUCAGGCUGAGAUCAAGAUGCUGUCGGAUCGGAAACGAGAGCUGGAGCAUCGCCUCAGUGCCACCUUAGAAGAAAAUGACCUGCUACAAGGAACUGUGGAGGAGCUGCAGGACCGAGUGCUGAUCCUAGAGAGGCAAGGCCAUGACAAAGACCUACAGCUACACCAGAGCCAGCUGGAGCUCCAGGAGGUGCGGCUCUCCUACCGGCAGCUGCAGGGCAAAGUGGAAGAGCUCACUGAGGAGAGGAGUCUGCAGAGCUCUGCCGCCACCAGCACGUCCCUCCUGUCAGAGAUAGAGCAGAGCAUGGAGGCCGAGGAGCUGGAGCAAGAGCGAGAGCAGCUGAGACUGCAGCUCUGGGAAGCCUACUGCCAGGUUCGCUAUCUGUGCGCACACCUCCGAGGAAGCGACAGUGCCGACUCCGCAGUGUCCACAGACUCCUCCAUGGACGAGUCUUCAGAAACCUCAUCCGCCAAGGAUGUCCCGGCUGGUAGCUUGCGCACUGCCCUCAGUGAGCUCAAGAGACUGAUACAGAGCAUUGUGGAUGGCAUGGAGCCCACGAGCUCCCGGAGAAUUGAGGAUGACUCCUUAGAAGAACAAAUAAGGCAGACCAGUGAGGACUCAAGAGCCCUGAGGGAGCUUAUGGAGGGAGAGAGGGGUAAACUGAGGCAAAGCCUAGAAGAGCUGCAGCGCCUCCACAGCCAGGUGACACUGCUGAGUGUUGAGAUGACUGCACUAAAGGAGGAAAGGGAUCGACUCAGAGUGACAUCUGAAGACAAAGAACCAAAGGAGCAGCUGCAGAAGGCCAUCAGGGACCGGGACGAGGCCAUUGCAAAGAAGAACGCUGUGGAGCUGGAACUCGCCAAGUGCAAGAUGGACAUGAUGUCUCUGAACAGCCAGCUGCUGGAUGCCAUUCAGCAGAAACUGAACCUCUCACAGCAGCUUGAAGCUUGGCAGUUUGCUUCCUCAGGGCUUUUUACUAUCUGGCUCCUUUGGUUUCUGAUCUAGUGGCCUUUCUCAGUUCCCGUACCAACAGCUUUAGUUGUACACCCCUCCUGCCUUUGAGGAUGACAUGCACAGGGUCAUUGACCGGCAGCUGAUGGACACGCACCUGAAGGAACGGAGCCUGCCUGCUGCUGCUGCCUUCUCCAGGGCCCACAGCGUGGGGCGGGGGGCUGAGCCCAGCACCACGGAAGGCAAAUGGCUCUUCUCAUUCUUCAGGAAAAUUUAAGUUGGGAGGAGCCGGGCCCAGAGGACGGGUGGACACUGGAGGCAGCUGCAAAGGCCAUAUGAGGGCCUCCCCUGUGGCCCGGGCUGGGCACCACACUGCCCACCCACACUAGGGCAGUCAGUCCAGGAGCACUUGAUCCUUUUGGGCAGUACACUUGGAGACCGGAAGGUAGGGGCCCACCUUGACCUCUGAAAACUGGUCUCAACAGAGGGACAGGUAGGAACCCUGUCCCCACUGCCCAGCCAAGCCUCAGCCUAGGUUUCCCCAGGAUCCUGUCAUUAUGCAGGGCUCAGGCCGCCUGCCAGAGUGGCCUCUCUGUUGCUGACCACAGCCCACCCCUCAGGCACUGCUGCCUCCUGUUUUAGAACAUGGGACAGAAGAAAUGGAGGCCUCCUCUGCAUGCCUCAGGAGGCCUGGGCCCAGGGACCUCACCCUGCAGGGCAGCAGGCCCAGGCCUAAGCCUCCACUCCUUUCCAGCCACUGGCCAAGUUAAGGGGAGGAACAGCCCCUCACCCAGUGCAUGCACCUCUGCUGGACCCUCAGUGGGCAGGAGGCCCAGCCUGGGGCCGUGGGGCCUAAGAGCUAGUGUCUCCAAGCUCCACUGAGGGCGUCCUGAACCCCAGGGAGGAAGGAGGGCCCCAUCCUCUGCCUGCCACCACUCCUCCCCAGCCUUCCCAAGAGCAGCCUUUAUCCUUCGCAAGGCCUGGCCCAGGGUUCUUGCUGGUACUCUACAGGCUUUGGCUGGCUGGGCCUCGCCCCUUCACGGGGCCAGGCAUGGGAUGGGGCUCAUUUUCCUCCCACGCCCCCCUCCCCACUGAUACAAUUUCUUGGUCCAGCCUAGCAAAUGCAGGUCAAAUAAUGGCCUCAAAGUGCCACCACAAAGGCAGGGUUGGCACCACAGGGUGGAUGGGGGGAGGCUGCUGGGAGCCCCUGGAUACUGCCCGCCAGGCCUGCAGGGGGACACGGCCUGCAGCCUGCUGCUCCCGCUGCUCCUGCAGCAGCCACCCCACAUCUCUGCUGAGGCCCCAGCUCAGAGGCUCUGCGGGCCCAGCCAGCCCGCAGCUGCUUACCACUGACUCAGCCUCCCUCACGGGGGAUAAGCACAGCAGGGAUGAGCAGAAAGAAUGUACCUAUAGAUGUGUACAUAUCACAGUGCUGUAAUUUUGUAUGUAGCAAUCAUGUAAAUACAUGUAUGGAUUUUAUAAUAUACAUAUAUAAAUCUAUAAAGGCAUAUUUUUAGAAAAACAGCGCACCACUGCUUCUUUUGAAAAUAGUCUGAAUAAGAAUAAAAUGAAUUUCUACAGAG